ACUGUGAAACUGCGAAUGGCUCAUUAAAUCAGUUAUGGUUUAUUUGAUGGUACCUUGCUACUUGGAUAACCGUAGUAAUUCUAGAGCUAAUACAUGCAGGAGUUCCCGACUCACGGAGGGAUGUAUUUAUUAGAUAAGAAACCAAACCGGUCUCCGGUUGCGUGCUGAGUCAUAAUAACUGCUCGAAUCGCACGGCUCUACGCCGGCGAUGGUUCAUUCAAAUUUCUGCCCUAUCAGCUUUCGAUGGUAGGAUAGAGGCCUACCAUGGCGUUAACGGGUAACGGAGAAUUAGGGUUCGAUUCCGGAGAGGGAGCCUGAGAAAUGGCUACCACAUCCAAGGAAGGCAGCAGGCGCGUAAAUUGCCCGAAUCCUGACACAGGGAGGUAGUGACAAGAAAUAACAAUACAGGGCUAUUUUAGUCUUGUAAUUGGAAUGAGUACAAUUUACAUCUCUUCACGAGGAUCAAUUGGAGGGCAAGUCUGGUGCCAGCAGCCGCGGUAAUUCCAGCUCCAAUAGCGUAUAUUAAAGUUGUUGCAGUUAAAACGCUCGUAGUCGGAUUUCGGGGCGGGCCGACCGGUCUGCCGAUGGGUAUGCACUGGCCGGCGCGUCCUUCCACCCGGAGACCGCGCCUACUCUUAACUGAGCGGGCGCGGGAGACGGGUCUUUUACUUUGAAAAAAUCAGAGUGUUUCAAGCAGGCAGUCGCUCUUGCAUGGAUUAGCAUGGGAUAAUGAAAUAGGACUCUGGUGCUAUUUUGUUGGUUUCGAACACCGGAGUAAUGAUUAACA
rnacentral:rRNA from 1 species